AUGUCAUGCCGACACCUAUCCAGCUUAAUUAAACGCGGAGCUUCAUUUAUUUGGACACCGUACGGGCUUACGUUUAUUAUGCGCAUGUCCAAUGAUAAUGGGCUUAAGUUCGUAUUUUGAUUACGGCCCAACGAACCUCUCAAACGGCGUCAACCCUAACCUCUGUUCUUCGUUACUCUGAGUUCAGCAGCGAGGAUGACGAACGAUUGUCCUGGAAGUUUCUGUAACGGAACGCUUUAUGAAUUCUACGACUUUAUUCACAUUAAUACAAAUGACCACUAAGAUCCCUUCAAUGCGUCGUUUCCGUCGGCGAAAUCUCUAAUCUCUAUAUAAAUAGGUUAGUAUUUCUCCUCUGGAGAUCGCGAUCUCUUCAUCUCUCUGAAAAAGGCAGCGUCUUGUGGGGUUAACAAGCUGUCCGUCAGCGAGUAGGUGAGGCCAGCGACCAUUGGCAUUACCCGGAGCAACCACAACUUCAAUCUUUCUGACUAUACAAUGUCCAUACGCUUAUGGAGCUAUGGUUACAGCAGCUAGGCUCACAUAUUUGAUGGUGAUUACUGGCCAGGCACAGCAAAAGAAGAUGGCAGAAAGGACAUUAAGUAAGGACUGAUCUUUCUGGAGACUGAUCUUUCUGGGAAGGCAUUCAAAAAUCAGUUGCUAAUGCUUAAAGUAAUCUGGACUUUCUAUGAAUUAUACUAUCUCUUUAUUAGUUUGUUCUCCUUUUGCCUUUGUUUCCAGCUCGGUGAAACCAUUACAAUGAGGACUUUCUCAUGGUCCACUUGCCGCCUUCUUACACACAUUGCUUAUGGUGAUGGUAUCUGGAAUCAUUGGGUCAGUAGUCAGUGCAAACAUUUUCAGAUUUGUGAUAAGUGUUAUGAGGCUGAACAGAUGCAUGAAGACAGGGAAAGUGACAUCUGUAUGAUCUUCAAGACCAAUUCCACUGCAGAUUCUUUGCAUGCCGACAAAUUUGCUGCUCUCGGUAAAUCUCGGGUUUAUCUGAUUUCUUUUUUAUCUACUAAAUAUGGGCUUUCAUUUGGUUUCAUUAGUUAGGGCUCUUCUCCUUUGGCAUAUUCGUAUUUUCAACAGAUCAAAGACAUCCCUCUAAACAGAGAUGUAUCUUUUUAUUCCUUUAAAGUUUAAUAGAAUUUCAGCUCUAUAAAAAGAGAUAGGGAAAGGUAUCAUGUCCCACUAAAAAUAGAUGUAUCUUUUUUUUCUUUAAAGUUUAAUAGCAUUUCAGUUCUAUAAAUAAAUACACGGAAAGGUAUCAUGUUAAUUUCAAGGAUAUGCAUGUAUUAAAAACCGGCGUCCAGAUAUGAAAAAUACUCCAAAUUUUGUUA